rnacentral:rRNA from 1 species
CCCUAUGGGGUGCAAGCGUUGUUCGGAAUUAUUGGGCGUAAAGAGCGUGUAGGCGGCCUGAUGUGUCAGAUGUGAAAGCCCUGGGCUUAACCCAGGAAGUGCAUUUGAAACUGUCAGGCUCGAGUAGGGGAGAGGGAAGUGGAAUUCCUGGUGUAGAGGUGAAAUUCGUAGAUAUCAGGAGGAACACCGGUGGCGAAGGCGACUUCCUGGCCCUAUACUGACGCUGAGACGCGAGAGCGUGGGUAGCAAACA